rnacentral:tRNA from 1 species
UGUAGCUCAGUAGUAGAGCACUUGCCUAGCAUGCAUGAGGCACUGGGUUCGAUUCUUAGCA